GCUGGUUAGCGCAGUUGGUAGAGCGCUCCACCUGUAAUGCAGAGGUCCAGGGUUCAAUACCCAGACCAGGCG
rnacentral:tRNA from 1 species